UGGGGAAUUUUGGACAAUGGGCGAAAGCCUGAUCCAGCAAUGCCGCGUGUGUGAAGAAGGCCUUCGGGUUGUAAAGCACUUUUGUCCGGGAAAAGAAAUCCUUGGCUCUAAUACAGUCGGGGGAUGACGGUACCGGGAAGAAUAAGCACCGGCUAACUACGUGCCAGCAGCCGCGGUAAUACGUAGGGUGCAAGCGUUAAUCGGAAUUACUGGGCGUAAAGCGUGCGCAGGCGGUUUGCUAAGACCGAUGUGAAAUCCCCGGGCUCAACCUGGGAACUGCAUUGGUGACUGGCAGGCUAGAGUAUGGCAGAGGGGGGUAGAAUUCCACGUGUAGCAGUGAAAUGCGUAGAGAUGUGGAGGAAUACCGAUGGCGAAGGCAGCCCCCUGGGCAAUACUGACGCUCAUGCACGAAAGCGUGGGGAGCAAACAGGAUUAGGAUACCCUGGUAGUCCACGCCCUAAACGAUGUCAACUAGUUGUUGGGGAUUCAUUUCCUUAGUAACGUAGCUAACGCGUGAAGUUGACCGCCUGGGGAGUACGGUCGCAAGAUU
rnacentral:rRNA from 1 species